CAUCUGUGACCCAGAAGAGGGUCCUCAGCAGACCCCGACCCGCCGACACCCGGAUCUCAGCCUUGCAGCCCCCGGUCUGCGAUAAUCUGUGAGCAGCCCAGACGGACUGAGACAGCGGGCGUCAGCACCCCUGCCGGGGCGUGCGGGCUCUCAGGCCAGGCUGGGGAGGAAUGGAGAGGCUGAGGCCAGAGGGACCCUUGCUUUCCCCGGAGGAGGGCGUUCUCGGGGCCCAGGCCCCUUCUGUACCCAGCUGGGGUACAGAAGGCCCGGGUGGGGGGACGAAUCUCUGGGGUUUCUCCCACCCUUAGCAGUGUGUCCAAGCACGUUGAUAGGGGAUUUGGGGACAGUCAGGAGCCCCUCGCUGGAGCCUGCAGCCUCAAUGUGGCAGGAAAUGCCCAGAGUGGAGACCACGGGCUCCUCAGGCCCCUGCCCCCCAGUCCACGGUGCUGCCCACCACACGUGGCCCCCGAGCACUCACUCUGUGGCCAACGGACCCUGCACUUGGUUCCAGACAUCUAGCGUGACCAGAGAACGUGUGACAACACGCUCAUCACUGACCUGGGAGGAGGGGCCGACAGGGGGACAAAGGCCGCGAUGGCAAGGGCAGGUCUGAGGAUGGGCGCAUCAGGGACAACUGACCAGCAGAGAGAGGACAGUGCCUGCAGGUGACAGCAGGGGACGCCGGCGGAGGUGGUGAGGCCCAGGCUUCUGAGCGGCCAGCUGGGCCUGAAGGUGCCUCAGGGACUGGGGGGGCCGGCUGUCUCCCAGGGCUGCCGCUCCAGCCAGGACCCCUCCCUCCGCAUCCUGGACUGAGGGCUGGAGAGGUGAGGCCCCGGGGGAGACAGCGUGACCCAGGCAGCGGGAAGGAAGGACAGGCCCAUUUCAGUGGCCCAAGGGGACUUGGGGCGGCUGCCUACGUGGGUGCCCCCCCUCCCCCGCUGCUUGGCCCCGGGCGGGUGUGCGGCCAGUUCAGACAAGGGAUUCUGCAGGCCGGUGUGCCAGGGCUCCCACCGGCCGGACGGCCCCUGCAGGCCUCAAAAGGGACCCUCAGGAACCAGGGCUGCCCUCUGGCCUGUGCAGGGGCGAGGGGGUGUUGCCAGGCCCUGGAAGGUCCAGGCAGCAGAGUCGGAGAAGCUCAGCGCCUACCUGAGGCCCAGGCCCCGGGGCAGCGGUAGCGGGCGAGGCUGGGGCUCCUGCAGCUCCGGCUUCCGGAAGGGUGAAGCUGAGGGGUCUCAGGUCAGAGAGCCAGCCUGGCCCCUCCUGCCGGCCCCCUCGCCGGGCCAGGCAAAAACCCUACCAGCUUCCCGCUCCCAACCUGGCAAGCGGAGACACAGACCCUCUGCUGGGGACUAGUGUCCCUCACUGUGCCGCGAGCUGAUAACCCUGUGACCCCUGGUGGCAGCCUGGCCCUCUGGUUGGUCAAAGGGUCCCAGUAAGACUCAAAGGCUGAGAAGUAACUCCAGGUGCCUGGCCCCUGGGGGUAGGGGUAGAGGAGAGAGGGGGCUCCCCCUGCCCGUGCCCAGCAGCCCUGCCCCCAAAGACCUCUACCUGUCAUUGCCAGGGAGGUCAAAUAACCAUCCACUGACCCCUGACCCAGCCUCUCUGCCCUCAAAUGGAGGAGGGGGCCAGAGAAGAAGGGUCAGGGUUGGGGCAAAAAAGGAGGAGGGGAAGAAGGAGAAAAGGACAGAAAGGAAAAGAAGUCAAGUGGGAGGAGGUGCAUA